UUAGGUCAGCGGCGGACGGGUGAGUAACACGUGGGUAACCUGCCUGUAAGACUGGGAUAACUCCGGGAAACCGGGGCUAAUACCGGAUGCUUGAUUGAACCGCAUGGUUCAAUCAUAAAAGGUGGCUUUUAGCUACCACUUACAGAUGGACCCGCGGCGCAUUAGCUAGUUGGUGAGGUAACGGCUCACCAAGGCGACGAUGCGUAGCCGACCUGAGAGGGUGAUCGGCCACACUGGGACUGAGACACGGCCCAGACUCCUACGGGAGGCAGCAGUAGGGAAUCUUCCGCAAUGGACGAAAGUCUGACGGAGCAACGCCGCGUGAGUGAUGAAGGUUUUCGGAUCGUAAAACUCUGUUGUUAGGGAAGAACAAGUACCGUUCGAAUAGGGCGGCACCUUGACGGUACCUAACCAGAAAGCCACGGCUAACUACGUGCCAGCAGCCGCGGUAAUACGUAGGUGGCAAGCGUUGUCCGGAAUUAUUGGGCGUAAAGCGCGCGCAGGCGGUUUCUUAAGUCUGAUGUGAAAGCCCCCGGCUCAACCGGGGAGGGUCAUUGGAAACUGGGGAACUUGAGUGCAGAAGAGGAGAGUGGAAUUCCACGUGUAGCCGGUGAAAUGCCGUAUAGAUGUGGGAGGAACACCAAGGGCGGAAGGCCGACUUCUCUGGUUCUGU
rnacentral:rRNA from 1 species